rnacentral:rRNA from 1 species
UACAGAGGUCCCAAGCGUUGUUCGGAUUCAUUGGGCGUAAAGGGUGCGUAGGUGGCGCUGUAAGUGGGGUGUGAAAUCCCGGGGCUUAACCCCGGGACUGCAUUCCAUACUGCAGUGCUUGAGGACUGGAGAGGAGACUGGAAUUUACGGUGUAGCAGUGAAAUGCGUAGAGAUCAUGAGGAAGACCAGUGGCGAAGGCGGGUCUCUGGACAGUUCCUGACACUGAGACACGAAGGCCAGGGGAGCAAACGGG